ensembl:lncRNA
CCCAGCUCAAGGCCAGCAUCACUGCCCCUCACGCUGACCCCAGUGGCUCAGCUCCUCGUGCUGCCAGCCUCCUUCGUGCCCAUCUGAAAGUCACCUUUUCCAGCUGCCCGGAGCUGCCGGCCAGGGAGGACGUGAGUGACCUGGUGACUAUGGCACUCAGGCUGGAAAGACGCAGGGAGGAGGCCUGGGCCUAUUUGUCAUCGUUCCUGUUGCCACUUCAUAGUCUUUAUUAUUAGGCAUCUUACGGACAUUGCUUUUAUAGGCACCAUGACUUUAUCCAUCAGACACCGGAUGCUAUUGGCAGGAAAUGAGCUAGAAGAAGAGAUUCUUGUUCUCCUCCAGGGAAUGCUCUGACCAUGGCUGACUCUCCUCACAGCAUGUUCUCCUUAAGGUAUUUGGCAGCUUCAAGUUCAUGAACUGUGUUUUGAAGCUGAUUUCUCAAAUCCUCCUGGGACUGACUCUCCCUUCGUCUGAUGUCUGCCAUGGCAUCUCUCUCCAUCUGCAUCUCUUGAAGUUUUGUCU